GCCCCUGGGUCUUUGAAGACGUAACAUCCGGCGAGUGAAGCAGCAAAAGCUCAAAUUUGAAAGCUAGCCUUCGGGUUCGCAUUGUAAUUUGUAGAGGAUGAUUUGGGGAACCGCCUGUCUAAGUUCCUUGGAACAGGACGUCAUAGAGGGUGAGAAUCCCGUAUGUGACAGGAAAUGGCACCCUAUGUAAAUCUCCUUCGACGAGUCGAGUUGUUUGGGAAUGCAGCUCUAAAUGGGAGGUAAAUUUCUUCUAAAGCUAAAUAUUGGCGAGAGACCGAUAGCGCACAAGUAGAGUGAUCGAAAGAUGAAAAGCACUUUGGAAAGAGAGUUAAAAAGCACGUGAAAUUGUUGAAAGGGAAGCGCUUGCAAUCAGACUUGUUUAAACUGUUCGGCCGGUCUUCUGACCGUAUUACUCAGUUUGGACAGGCCAGCAUCAGUUUCGGCGGCCGGAUAAAGGCUCUGGGAAUGUGGCCUCCACUUCGGUGGAGGUGUUAUAGCCCAGGGUGUAAUACGGCCAGCCGGGACUGAGGUCCGCGCUUCGGCUAGGAUGCUGGCGUAAUGGUUGUAAGCGACCCGUCUUGACCCCCGGAACCAAAACCCAAUCCACUUCUUCUU
rnacentral:rRNA from 1 species